rnacentral:rRNA from 1 species
UACGUAGGGUGCGAGCGUUAAUCGGAAUUACUGGGCGUAAAGUGUGCGCAGGCGGCUUCGCAAGUCGAGUGUGAAAUCCCCGAGCUUAACUUGGGAAUUGCGCUCGAAACUACGGAGCUGGAGUGUGGCAGAGGAAGGUGGAAUUCCACGUGUAGCGGUGAAAUGCGUAGAGAUGUGGAGGAACACCGAUGGCGAAGGCAGCCUUCUGGGCCGAACACUGACGCUCAUGCACGAAAGCGUGGGGAGCAAACAGG